rnacentral:tRNA from 5 species
GGGCCAUUGGCGCAGUGGUAGCGCGCUUCCUUCACACGGAAGAGGUCACUGGUUCGAACCCAGUAUGGCCCACCG